CAGACCCUACUUGUCUGUGAGUUAAAGAAAGAAAUCUCUACUAUCUAAAAGAAACGCAAGGUUCCGUUUCCCACCUUACGUCGCUCGUUUCGUCCAUCCUCCCUGCGGGUGCACUCGCGAUUGGUUUUAUCACAUCCUUCCUCACGUCGGUUUUGCAUUGAAGACCUUCCUAAAACAACCACGCUGAUUGAUUCCCCUUAACCUUAUCCCACCUCUGAUAUAGCCGCCGCCACAGUCUCCCCCAUCUCGCGAACGACUCCCCGUUCAUGAUCUCUCGCCAGCGACGCCCUAACGUCACCGUAGCGCAUGACACAGGGAUUCGUCGCUGCCGCCCGCAGCUAAUUUGCCCCUGGCGUCGAGGAGGGGGUCAGCAAGAGCUCAUGUCCUCCCGGUGCUGCCGCCGCUGGGCUCGUCUCGUCAGGAGGACACGGUGUCGAUGCCGCCGCCGGCGACGCCUCGUUCUUCUUGAGGUCAAUCAUGAGGGACUCCUGAUUUUUGAACAUGUGUGUUUCUUCUUGUGUUGCAGCCUGCAGGUCGUGCAGGUCGGGUAUGCUGCAGCCUGCGAGAUCCGAGGCGUGACGACAUCGGUGAUUAUGUUCACCGUGGCCCAAGGUUAAGCCAGAUCUGUGACGGAGGCAUGGCGCAGGAAACCUACGCCGCAUGGAGGCUACGGAGAUCCGUGGGAAGCUAUUGCUACCGCUUUCAGUGGCGUAGCGGAUGGCCGCUUUCAGUAACGCCUCGCAGAUGUUGCUCCAAAGAAGAAUGGAGAAGUUAACCAAAGUUAACCAAUAUUCAGUACUUUUUUUUGCGAAUAGUACUAAUAACAUUACCUGCAAGUGCAAGCAAGGUGAACCACCGGUGCUUUGGCAAAAGAAAAGCAACACGAUGCCAAAAGAUUGUAGAAUUACCAUUGCAUCACCCAUCUUCUGAAACAUACAUGUCCCCUGUAUCCUGCACUCCAUUCCGUUCCUGUGAGUUUCUUUUGUUCUGAAACAUACAUGUUCUCUGUGACUUUUUUUGCAGAUCCGCUGAUGAUAUGCUUGGGCGCCAGAUCUUCAUGAAUUGGUCAGUGAUUGUAUGAAUAUGAAUUUGUAGUCUGACUAAGUUCUUGUUGCUCAAUUAUAUGUGACCAUGUUGCAACUGUAUUUGCAUGUGACGUUGGUUUGGCCAAUAGACUUUUUUUUUAGAUUCCCUGCUGGACCUUUUGGUAGUGUAUUUAAUUUUGAUUGUGAUGGAGUGGGACUUAAACUUCAAAGUAUAUUUGCAUGUUAGUGUACCAAAAUCUUAACUGACAUUUUAUAUAUAAUGAGCAAAGAAACCUAUGAUCUCAAA